rnacentral:miRNA from 1 species
ACUGCUUAUGAGCUUGCACUCC